GGGGAUGUAGUUCAACGGUAGAACGUUGGUUCCGCAAACCAAAAACUCUGGUUCGACUCCGGACUUCUCCA
rnacentral:tRNA from 1 species